UAAACUUGGCAACAAAAUGACUCA
rnacentral:snRNA from 1 species